AAUAAAGUGCCUGAUAAAAGGAUUAUUUUGAUAGAAUAAAUUAUAUAAUAAAAUUAUCUUUAUUA
rnacentral:tRNA from 1 species